rnacentral:rRNA from 1 species
UACAGAGACUGCAAGCGUUAUUCGGAUUCACUGGGCGUAAAGGGUGCGCAGGCGGCCGUGUGUGUGAGGCGUGAAAGCCCGGAGCUUAACUCCGGAAUUGCACCUCAAACUACACGGCUAGAGCAUUGGAGAGGGUAGCGGAAUUCACGGUGUAGCAGUGAAAUGCGUAGAUAUCGUGAGGAACACCAGAGGCGAAGGCGGCUACCUGGACAAUUGCUGACGCUCAGGCACGAAAGCGUGGGGAGCAAAAGG